CAAACGACUCUCGGCAACGGAUAUCUCGGCUCUUGCAUCGAUGAAGAACGUAGCGAAAUGCGAUACUUGGUGUGAAUUGCAGAAUCCCGUGAACCAUUGAGUCUUUGAACGCAAGUUGCGCCCGAGGCCAUUAGGUCGAGGGCACGUCUGCCUGGGCGUCACAC
rnacentral:rRNA from 1 species